AUGGCGUCCGGGAAGCCGCCGAGCACCCUCCCGCGCCCGCAUCCUGCUGCCCUUUCCCGGGCACAGCUCCCUGGGAGCCCUGGGCGGGGGCACGGAGCAGGGAGCCCCGGGUGCCAUCUGCGGGAGCCCAGGUGGCCGCCCGAGACGUGCCAUCUGCCGAGCCUCCUUCGGGGACCGUGCAGGCGCUGCUGUAUUUUUAGGACGCGUUUCCUCCCUCCCACCUGCAACCCGGAGCAGCCUUUCGGUUUUCUAACAAGUUCUUUCUCUUGCCUCGGGCUGCUCUGCCCAAGCGGCUGUGGGAGAGAGACCCCAGUCCCCAGCUGGCCGGGGGGGGCACGGGCUGAUGACAGCGGAGGGGGGCUCAGCACCACACCGAGGGGGAGUCGUGCCAUGCAGAGAGCAGGCCGGGGCAGACGCCUCGCUGCACGGGGCAGGAAGCCCCUCCGGCUCGUGCAUUGCUCUGCGUGGUGCUCAUGCUGCAGCUGCAAUUUGGGACCAGCGGCUGGGAAUGUCCCCAUCCCCAUGGCCAUCCCCAGAAGCCAGCGGGGCUGCAGGUCCGCAGCAGCAGGGAUGAGCCCGCGCCGUUGCACCAUCCCGGUUGCACAUGCGCCAUCCAUGCUGUGCCGUGCUGUGCUGCGCCGAGCUGUGCUGCGCCGUGCUGCCCAUGCCAUGCCAGGCUGCUCACGCCGUGCUGCACCGGGACAGCCGCGCCGCGCCGUGCCGUGCCGUGCUGUGCCGUCCGGCCAUGCAGGACCAUGCUGCCCGGCGCUGCCCAUGCCGUGCUGCAGCGCGCUGGCCCCUCGCGGUGAGGAAGUGAAGCCAGCGCGAAGGGGAAGUUGUUGGAAAGUCAGACCGGAAUGGCUGAUAGGGGAGGCAGAGCUGGGCUUGGUCGCAGAUGGUUCCUGUUGGGGAAGGACACGGGCGCAGCUGCCCGGCCUCCCCCCGCCCGCCGCAUUAUCACCACCCGGCAGCUGUUCACCUUCCCCUCGCCAUGGGACGCGGCUCUCCUGCCACCGCGGCCCCGGCGGUCACAUGAACGGCCCCCGCCGGGCGGGCCAGGGCGGCGGAGCAGGCACCGAGCGGGCAGCACGCCCCAGGCGGCGCUCAGCAUCUCCCCGCUCCGCGCGGCUCCCCGCCGCUCCUCCGCCUGCGCGGUGCCGGCAGCAUCCCGCCCGUGCCCACCGCUCGCCCCGGCAGCUGGACGCGGCGAGGGUCCCGGCGCCUGCUCGCCCGGGAUGCCCGGGGGACCCUCCAAGCCGCGCAGCUGCCCCUCGUCGCCCGCGCACGGCAGGACCAGCCAAGCCCUUUGUCGAUGAACUUGGAGCCGCUCUGCAAGCAUUCGUCUGCUGAGCACCGCUGUGGGGCAAGCUCCACUUCGCGCGCUGGCAGCGGCGGAGGUCGGGGCACGGAGAUGUUGGGGAAUUGUCCCGAAAACGCACAGUGAAGCCGGAGCAGAAAUCGGGGAGUAUGCUGAAAGUCCAGGCACCUGCAGCCCUGCGCCGGUCCCCGGCGAGAUAGACCCGGGGCCGAGCUGUCGCCUGCAGCGGGGACUUGCUUCUCCGGACGCAGAUGAGGCAGGUCCUCGUGCCCGGUGCUUCCAUGAAAAGAGAAGUUCGAAUUUUGCUUUUGCUGUGCCUGGGGAAAGCCCCCGGGAAGAAAAACAAAGAUGAACUUGGCUGUGCAGAGGGUUUUUUCUCCGCCUGCUGCCCCUUGUCGGGCCCCGCCGGUUUCUGGGCUGGCAGGUAAGGUUUUACCCAGCAGCGGCCAGAUGUUGUGCAUGUUCUGCUUUGAAAAAAUCUGCAACUGCAGGUGUUGGCUUGUAGGAAGAAAAAGCGAAGGGUGCAGGCAGGGCAGGCGGGUCGCUCGCAUGCUGGGUGCCAGGACGGGGCUGGGUGCCGGAUAUGGACACGACACACAGUGGGAGCAAGGCCUCGGCCGGUGCCAGAGUCGUCUGUGAAAUUGGGAUCGUCCCGGGCGUGAGACGAGGCCUGAAGCAGGAUGGAAAAAUACUCUGGAGGGCUGCAGUGCUGGGAAAGCCGUGCCGAUACCGCGUGCGUGGGUUUGGACUGCCCGGCCGCCGCCUGUUGCUGCGGCACGUGUUGGGGCGGCCGGGCCGGGGGACGCUGCCGCGGCUGCGAUCGCAGCCUCCCUCCUGCACCCCGGCGGCUCGCGGGAGCCUCCCGGCAUGGCCCGAUGCACGCGGCUGCCACCGCCGCGGCGGGAGGCCCUGGGGAGAGGCGCUGGCAGCCGGCAGCUGUGCAAGGUGGCCGGGUCUCUCGCGACAUCCGUCUCCUUUGCCCGUGUCGUGUGUUGGGUUUCUGCUUCCAAACUGCGUUUGUCUGCACGUGGG
rnacentral:lncRNA from 1 species